UACGAAGGGGGCUAGCGUUGUUCGGAAUUAGCUGGCGUAAGCGCGCGCAGGUGGUCUUUCAAGUCAGUGGUGAAAGCCCGGAGCUCAACUCCGGAAAUGCCAUUGAAACUGUGAGACUUGAGGACGAGAGAGGUGAGUGGAAUUCCCAGUGUAGAGGUGAAAUUCGUAGAUAUUGGGAAGAACACCGGUGGCGAAGGCGGCUCACUGG
rnacentral:rRNA from 1 species